GUGGAUAUUAACGUCUUCCAACUUUACUCCACUCGAGAAGUACUUUUUAAGGGAGUAUUUUUCUGCUCCGUAGCUUUGAAGAUCAGUACAAGAAGCUUGCCCUGUGGAUGCAUGACAUGGAAGAAAGAAUAAGCACAGAAGCAUUUGGAGAGAGCAAACAGCUUGUUUCUGAGAAGAAAAAGGAGGUGCAGAAAGUGGAAAAGUUCCUGGAAGAGUUGCUGAAUUCAAGGGAUUCUUUUGAUCAGCUCUCUCAAAUGGCACAGACUUUAAAUGAAGAAGGCCAUGGUGCUGGGAGGGAAGUACGUCUGGCGUCUCAACAUCUCACCAAUUAUCAAAACAUGGUCAAAAAUGUCAAGGAGAAGCUGAGGACAAGUCAGCUUGCACUCCAGGAGCAUCUCAAUUUUGAGGAGGCAUUGCAGAGUAUGUGGUCAUGGGUGAAAGAGGUUCAAGAUAAACUGGCAUCAUCACAGAGCACUCUUGGAAGCAAAGCCACCCUGGAAAGACGAUUGACACAAAUUCAGGAGAUCCUCUUACUCAAAGGUGACGGUGAGGUUAAGCUGAACAUGGCCAUUGGCAAAGGAGAACAAGCACUUAAAAGCAGCAAUGAGGAAGGACAAAAAGUGAUACAAACCGAGCUCCAGACACUGAAGGAUGUUUGGAAUGACACCAUCAGUACCUCAGUGAACUGGCAGAGCUGCCUAGAUUCUGUCAUUAGCCAGUGGAAUGACUAUCUGGAAAGGAAAAACCAGCUGGAACAGUGGUUGGAGAAUUUGGAUCACAAAGUGGAGCAGCCUUUAGAGCCACAGACUGGUCUGAAGGAGAAGUUUGCUCAGCUGGACCAUUUCCAGGCUAUUGUUUCAGAGAUAGAGGAUCACUCGGGUGAUUUGCAGCAACUCAUUGAAAAAGCUGUGGAACUACAUGAAAAAACAGGGGAUGAUUCCUUCGGAGAUGCAGCUCAAGAAGAACUAAAAACACAGUUUAAUGACAUCACAACUGUUGCCAAGGAGAAAAUGAGGAAAGUGGAAGAUAUCGUGAAAGAUCAUUUGCUUUAUCUGGAUGCUGUGCAUGAAUUCACAGACUGGCUUCAUUCUGCAAAGGAAGAGCUUCACCGCUGGUCAGAUGCAUCUGGAGACACACCAACCAUACAAAAAAAGCUGGCCAAAAUCAAUGUAAGUGAGCAUGUGGGAUUUCUUCUGCAAUUCAGGCCCUAUGCUUUCAAAAAAAAAACCCAGUCAAACAGUUAUGGGGUCUUGCUCUUUUUUACUUUGAAAUGGUGAUUUUAUUUCAGAGAGCUGAAAGCAAGCUUUCCAAACUGUGCUUUGUUUUCGACUCCCUUCUCAUAUUAACAGAUGGAGUAAAAGUAUAAUCAGACCUAAGUUAACCACAACACACAUGGAAACAAUUUGCAAGAGCGGAAGCCCAGUGGCAUCACAGAAGAAUGUGG
rnacentral:lncRNA from 12 species